AUUUUACUGUUUCUGUUGUUUGUU
rnacentral:sRNA from 1 species